UACGAAGGGGGCUAGCGUUGCUCGGAAUCACUGGGCGUAAAGCGCACGUAGGCGGCUUUCUAAGUCAGGGGUGAAAUCCUGGAGCUCAACUCCAGAACUGCCUUUGAUACUGGAGAGCUAGAGUCCGGAAGAGGUGAGUGGAACUGCGAGUGUAGAGGUGAAAUUCGUAGAUAUUGGGAAGAACACCGGUGGCGAAGGCGGCUCACUGGCUCAUUACUGACGCUCAGGCGCGAUAGCGUGGGGAUCAAACAGG
rnacentral:rRNA from 1 species